GUGGGGAAUAUUGGACAAUGGGCGCAAGCCUGAUCCAGCCAUGCCGCGUGAGUGAUGAAGGCCUUAGGGUUGUAAAGCUCUUUCGUCAGGGAAGAUAAUGACGGUACCUGAAGAAGAAGCCCCGGCUAACUUCGUGCCAGCAGCCGCGGUAAUACGAAGGGGGCUAGCGUUGCCCGGAAUCACUGGGCGUAAAGCGCACGUAGGCGGCUUUCUACGUCAGGGGUGAAAUCCUGGAGCUCAACUCCAGAACGGCCUUUGAUACUGGAGAGCUUGAGUUCGGUGGAGGUGAGUGGAACUGCGAGUGUAGAGGUGAAAUUCGUAGAUAUUCGCAAGAACACCAGUGGCGAAGGCGGCUCACUGGCCCGAUACUGACGCUGAGGUGCGAAAGCGUGGGGAGCAAACAGGAUUAGAAACCCUGGUAGUCC
rnacentral:rRNA from 1 species